AUAAAAUAAAUUAUUCGCUUAUAUAUCAUUUGAAAUAAGGUCAAAUGGUCUCUACCAGGCUGCCGUAAAUUGCCCGACUAUAAGCAUUUUUU
rnacentral:ncRNA from 1 species